AGUGAACGCUGGCGGUAGGCCUAACACAUGCAAGUCGAACGGCAGCACAGUAAGAGCUUGCUCUUACGGGUGGCGAGUGGCGGACGGGUGAGGAAUACACCGGAAUCUACUUUUUCGUGGGGGAUAACGUAGGGUAACUUACGCUAAUACCGCAUACGACAUACGGGUGAAAGCAGGAGAUCUUCGGACCUUGCGCGAUUGAAUGAGCCGAUGUCGGAUUAGCUAGUUGGCGGGGUAAAGGCCUACCAAGGCGACGAUCCGUAGCUGGUCUGAGAGGAUGAUCAGCCACACUGGAACUGAGACACGGUCCAGACUCCUACGGGAGGCAGCAGUGGGGAAUAUUGGACAAUGGGCGAAAGCCUGAUCCAGCCAUACCGCGUGGGUGAAGAAGGCCUUCGGGUUGUAAAGCCCUUUUGUUGGGAAAGAAAAGCAGCAGGUUAAUACCCCGCUGUUCUGACGGUACCGAAAGAAUAAGCACCGGCUAACUUCGUG
rnacentral:rRNA from 1 species